rnacentral:rRNA from 1 species
UAGCGUAUAUUAAAGUUGUUGCGGUUAAAAAGCUCGUAGUUGGAUUUCUGUUGAGGACUGCCGGUCCAUGUUUUGCAUGAGAAUCGGUUCGGCCUCGGCAUCCUCUCGGGGAACGCACUGCGCUUCAUUGCGUGGUGCGGGCGCCGAGACUUUUACUUUGAGGAAAUUAGAGUGUUCACGGCAGGCUGUCGCCCUGAAUACAUUAGCAUGGAAUAAUACUAUAGGAUUUUGGUUCUAUUUUGUUGGUUUCUAGAGCUAAAAUAAUGAUUAAUAGGGACAAUUGGGGGCAUUCGUAUUAACUGGUC